CGGAGGGUGCAAGCGUUAUCCGGAUUCACUGGGUUCAAAGGGUGCGUAGGUGGGCUGAUAAGUCAGUGGUGAAAUCUCUAGGCUUAACCUGGAAACUGCCAUUGAUACUAUCGGUCUUGAAUCUCGCGUAGGUAAGCGGAAUAUGUCAUGUAGCGGUGAAAUGCUUAGAUAUGACAUAGAACACCAAUUGCGAAGGCAGCUUACUUCACGAGUAUUGACACUGAGGCACGAAAGCGUGGGGAGCAAACAGGAUUAGAUACCCUGGUAGUCCACGCCCUAAACGAUGGAUACUCGACAUCGAGCGAUACACUGUUGGUGUCUGAGCGAAAGCAUUAAGUAUCCCACCUGGGAAGUACGACCGCAAGGUUG
rnacentral:rRNA from 1 species